UAUUAAUUCAGUUCUAAGCGAUAGAGUGUAACACUUGUUUGUCACUGCGGUGUCAAAUUCAGAAUCAGAAAUUUUCAGAGCAUGGGAGGGCAGGCCAGACAGCCAUACUUUAAGGGCAACUUAGAGAAACCAUGGAAGGACGUUCAUGCCACACAGAGAAAAGCCAUGAAUUUCACACAGGAUUCAAGCCUUCAGCUCUGGGAGUGCGGGACAACAGUGCUGCACAGUGAGCCAGUGGUCAGAGAAUAAUAUGGGUGAACUGGGGGCAAGCAGGCAUCCAGUGUAGAGCUGCACAGUUUGAGCUGCGCAGUUUGAGCUGCGCAGUUUGAGCCCAUUGUGCUGCCACAGCAAUCUCUGGAUUUAAAGCUGCCUUUGAUGCAGUUUUGGGCUGUUGGGAUGGGGAGGGCCAUCAGUGCUGUCCUGUUCUGCUGCUCUACAGCAUUUGCAGCCAUAAGAGGUAAGCAGAAGUGUUCCCUGAAACAAACACUGGGAGGACCCCUGUACCGCUUUUCACCACUGGGUAGUUGGUAUUGGGGAGGAGACUGAUUGCAGAAUGAGGUUUUAGGCCAUUAUAGACUAAAAGUACACAGGGAAAAGGUGAAAUUAAAGAGAAAUAUUAAGGAUUUCUUAAGGACUGAUAAUGUGCAAAUGCAUCAUAUGCUAGUGGGGGUGCAGUGAGCCUUUGAAAUGCUUUUCCAUAGCUUAGAAAAGUGUUUUGGCUAUAAUUAUUUUGUGUUUUCAAUGUAAAUAGUGGUGAAACGCUGUGAUAAUUCAAGUAUCAGUACUUUCUAGAAGUUCUCCUUUAUGUGUAAAAUGGCAGUUAGAGUACCUUGGCGGGGAAAAAAACAGUUUUUAAACAGUAAGUGUCUUCUGGAAUAAGUUCAGUUAAAGAUGUUGCAUUCAAAACAUUUCCAUUGAUGACUUACUAACAGACCGCAUGUAAAAUAGUGACAUAAGCCAGAACUUACAUGGACAAAAAGACGGAUGGGAGGGAGCGUUGGGGAGGAGAAAAGCAGAGCGAUGGAAUGGAGUAAUUUAUGAAUUAGCCGAGAAACAAAAUUAUCUCCCCUCGGAAAAUAUGGACCACUGAUAAUUUGUUUUAUUUUUAACAGUGAAAGAGAAGUGAGAGAAACAUUCAAUCAGAUUUAAAGAAGAAUGUAUUUCGAACGUAUGGACUUGUUACAAAAUCAUGACGUUCAUGUUACUCAGAAUAACAGUAUGUUCAAAGUGUUUAGAGGCACCAGCUUACGUGGGAUUCCCCGAUUCCAGGGCCAGCAUACUCUGCUUCUAGUUUAGCGUAUUUAACCCUGCGUGUCUGAAGGAAAUACAAGACCAGACUUGAACAGCCUUUCUCUGUCCAACCUGCAACAAACCUUUAUCAUAUCUAGCUUUCUUUUUCUUCAAAAAUAACAAAUACAUCAGUUAGAUACAUUAAAUAUAUGUUUAAUUGUGUAAUCCUCUGAAAACUCAUCUCUUUAGGGUAGUUAGGUUAUUCUGGUUUGGCUGAUUGCCGCAGUUCUGCUCUCAGGAAGAAAUGUGGUUUUUUUUAAUAGAGCUCUGUCAUCCACACAACUGCCUGACACUGAGGUCUGGGCACUUCCAGGAGUCGCAAUGAAACAACUUCAAGCUUUCUUCUAGUACUUCCUCCCGCAAUAAUAAAUAAAGCAUUAAUGGCUGCGCGUCACAGGUGCAGGAUAUUACAUGGCUGCGCCGGGCUCUGUGCUGCACAGGAAAUGCCCCGUGUUCCCUUUUUCACGGGACUCUGCUAGAGGAAGAGUAACGCACUGGGACCCUGCGGGCACUGGCAAAAACCCAAGGAAAGACAUGUGUGCGCAUUUGCAUUAUCUCACUGUCUCCACUCAUUUUAUCGAUCACGUGACUUGCACAGUAACUUGCACAGGGAAAUGUGACUCGAGUUCUGCUCCAUGGACCUAAUUACAAUUGUCCAAUUUGCACGCUAUUUGGCACGUUCAGUCUAAAAAGAAACUUGCCAUCUUACCUGAUAGGGGGCAGUUUUGGCAUGUCACAGCUGACAUGGUGGCUUUCCUGUACAUAAGCUUGCUAACCUCAGAAGGAUACAGGGCUACAGCGUCCGGAACCUCGGCAUGGAGGUGGAGCCACAUACUACUCCAGAUUUCCCCUGUGUAUCAUCUGGAGAGGCGGCCCACUUAAAUCAGUAAGUCAACGUUAAUUCAGUAAAACCAGUGUUCAUUCAGGGCCUGCAAUUGAUCAUGUAAUUAUUUCCAAGCUCACGGAAGAAUUGAGUCAUGAACUCCGUUAAACAUUGGCCAUUGCUUGUGGGAUAUUCAGGACAGAAAUACCCUCUAGUGGAGCAAACCCAUCAUUGCAGCCACAACAACACUCACUAACACAAUUGGAACCAGAGUGCAGAAGACUUCUGAGACACUUCUGCUUGAAAACAAUGGGGGAGAACGAUGACGAAAUGAGACGCUACAUUUGAAUAAUUGAGAUGAUCAGUACAGUACACUUGUAAUGAUGAGUCACUGCUGAAAAGUGUUUUCUCAGACUGAAUCAACCACUCUCCCCACAGUCAUUUGGCUAGUUUUGCUUUUCAGGCCAUAACCCCAAUGUAGCUGUUCUUUAUUCAUGCAAAAAUGUCAUCAUUCAUUACAAAAAUAUCUCAAGCAAUAUCACUCUGCAAAUGAAAUGGAUAAUCGUGUUUUUCAGCGACUCAACUGUGCUUGCCAGCCAAUAUUUUGUGUUUUUAUUUUUUGCACUGACUGGAUGAAUUGUGUGCUGUGUGACUCUAUAGACUGCAAGUGUAGAUCGUUUUGAAAUAUUGACAAUUACAUUUUAAAAAAUAAUUUAUUCUCAAUCGCAAACACAAAUACAAUCACAGACACUGGUUUGGGGCAGAACCUUUAUAACAGCAGACCAAGCUACAAACUGAAGAUACACACACUGGAUUUUACAGCGUAGUUUGUAAGUUUUGGAUUGGCCCAUGGAACACGCGUACUGUCAUACUAACAUUAGUAUGUACAAACUGAGAGGACGCACAGCCACCGAACAGUAAAUUCCUGUGAAAACAGAGGAGUUUAAUGUACAAACACAUGCCCAUCUUUGAUUUCCUUAUCCCCCUAGUGGCUGUAGGGUAAGUCCUUGGAAGACUCCAUUGUUCACUUUUCUCAGGUGUACAAGUCUGGGGCCCAGGGUCCGUGGUGACGUCACAAGCCAUCGUCCACUGACAGGCUGCCUGCUUCACUGGCUCCCAGGGAAACUGGAGUCUCAACCCAGAACCACUGAUACUUGGGUGAUGAGUCUGAAACAGUGAGUCCCCAUAGCUGCGGAGGGGUCCAAGCAUUUUCUGACUCACACAUACCGCUGCCAGAAUUACAUGUCACACACAUGCAUACACAUACACCUAAAUGAGCAAUCCAGCUUCAGAAAGGAAACCGCAGUGUUGGCAGAGCUUGCGCCAUUUCCUGAUGCCAUCUGUCAGUGUUGGUACUAUUGAUACCUCACAAUAUCAGAGAAAUGGAUCAUGUGCGACAAUACACAGCCUAACUUUUUUUGUUGUUUUUUUUUU